AUGCAGGGCAUUUCCUGAGGAUUAAUGACUGUCUGGGGUCAUCAUCUCCUCCCAGUUAGUUAUUAAUCCCCAGGAAAUACUCUGUGCCUUGAUCAU
ensembl:miRNA